rnacentral:misc_RNA from 1 species
CAGAGAGAGAGAGAGAGAGAGAGAGGAACCAGAGAAAAACAUAUUUUAAAGGCAUAGCCAACCUGCGUAAUAUUCGCAGUGGAAAAUACCACCACCAAUUUCUUCACCACGGCACCUCCCACCACCAACGAAUCAAAUCUAAUCUCUCUCUGUUGAUAACUGCGGCAUCUCCAAUAAAACAGGACUCUCUCUCACUGCAGCAUCUCCAAUAAACCAGGACUCUCUCUCCUUCACUUUUAAAAGGCAAACGAAGAGCAACAAUAAGCAGCAAUUCAAUUUGCAUUCCUCUCUUCCCUUUCCCAGGGACGCGUUUGGGGGACGGAGGCCUUUUGACUCCAAAA